AGCGAACAUUGGCGGUAGGCUUAACACAUGCAAGUCGAGCGAGGCGUAAUAGUCGAGCGGCGAACGGGUGAGUAAUACAUGGGAAUCUACCUCGAAGUGGGGGAUAACAGCCAGAAAUGGCUGCUAAUACCGCAUAAUCCGGGAACGGGAAAGCGCGCUGCGCUUUGAGAUGAGCCCAUGGCUGAUUAGCUAGUUGGUGGGGUAAAGGCCUACCAAGGUGACGAUCAGUAGCUGGUCUGAGAGGAUGAUCAGCCACACUGGAACUGAGACACGGUCCAGACUCCUACAGGAGGCAGCAGUGGGGAAUCUUGCGCAAUGGGGGCAACCCUGACGCAGCCAUACCGCGUGUGCGAUGAAGGUCUUCGGAUUGUAAAGCACUUUCAGUAGGGACGACGAUGACGGUACCUACAGAAGAAGUCACGGCUAACUUCGUGCCAGCCGCCGCGGUAA
rnacentral:rRNA from 1 species